AUAUAUUAUUUUUCAUUUCCCUCCUAUAGGGCCCGAGAGGACAAAUACCGCAGGUCGGAAUUCAGCCUUGGCAACUCAGCAUCCGAUCUUGGUCUAUAGCAAAUUAUUUCUAGCACUUGGAAGUUUUUGUUAACUGCAACUUCAAUUUCAACAACAUCAAUUAUUACUUUGGAUUUUUAAAAUGGAUUCUGUUAAUGGCGAAAAACAUGCCAGACAAGUGAAAAUGUUGAAAUUGUUGAAGAAAUUAUAAACUUGUAUCGAAAAAUCCAUGGAUUAACUGAACAAAAGUUUCAACUAGUACCAUUACUUGCUCAUGGAGUUUUGAAAAAUUGGUUGUUGCAGAAAUGUAAUGUAACCACGAUCAACCAAAACAUGAAUGAAACAUUCAAACGAGUUUGGGAUGUAAUAUCGGACAAAUAUUCCACUCAUCAUAUCUAAUUUUAUAUUCAUUUUGUUUAUUUUUUAGGGUCUUAUUACGCACAGUAAUAAAAUAAAAAAUUACUUAGUGCUAGUGAAAAAGAUCACCGAGAAAUUGCUGCAAAACAAAUAGAAAUUGACAUUGAAAUAUCUACAUUGAAAGAGAAGGUAAAAACCCUUUCAUUGACAUUGGACUCUCCGGCGAAGAAAAAUAUUUGCGAGUAUUUUGAAGGAGAAGAAUUUGAAAUGGAAGCUGCUCCUUUCAGAUGUUUCGUUGAUGGAUGUUUAAAAACUUAAGCUAUAAGAAAAUGCUUGUUGCGGCAUCAACGAAUGUGUCAUUCACCACCUUUUACAAAAGGGAUGUCAACGGAUGGUCCAAAUUCAGUGGCGGAUUCACCACAAUUUCAACAAGUACAAAGCAGGCCGGUUGUGUACACACAAUUCCACUUGUGCAGCCUUCUAUGGCUUUCAAACGGCCUGCUUUGAAUGCUGAGGUGGUGAAACCUAAUAAAACUGUUUGCCUCCAACAACCUUUAAGCUCUGUUUCACCAAAUGUUCAAAACUCCAGUGGAUUUUCAAGUGACGCUAACUAUAGAGCAAACUUGGCCCACUUUGAGAAGUUUGGCGUAGAUCGUCCAUAUUCAAGAAAUCCAACUUUACUCUGUGACUGUCCAGGUAAGAUUUUCUUUUUUUUUUUUUUUUUUAAAUAACACAACAUUCGUUUAUUUGCAAUCACCAUGUUUUUGUUUCAACGGCGUUUUUUACACUCUCCAUCAGUAAAAGAUGAAGUUAUAUAAUUCGUGAAUAAAGUGCACUGUUCGCUUUUGAGUUCUGACUUACUGCUCUCGCUAGCAGACAAAAAACAAAUGAAAGGAAAACGAAAAAAGGUUUCAACAAUGCCAGACUUGGAAAAAACGUUGCAUGUAUUUACAGUCGUGUGGUCUCUUUUGAAAGGAGUAAAGUUAUGUAUGUAACAAAAAGAAAUAAAAUUCAGUUUAAGGUUACAUAA